rnacentral:lncRNA from 1 species
GAGAAGGCAUGGAUUGCAUGGAGCACUGGGUGUGGUGCAAAAACAGUGAAUACUGUUACGCUGAAAAGAAAUUUAAAAAAAAUAAAAAAUAAAAUAAAAAGCUAAUGUCACCAGCAAUGGAACAGAUCAACAUUAUGUGCUUUUUUUUUAUUUACACUGAGAAAAACACAGCACCUGCUUGUUUUUUUUUCUGCCGACAAUGCAUAGCUUAAAUCUAAUUAUGAAGGAUCAUUUGGGCAAACCCAAAUUUCAACACAAUCUACAAAGUAACUGGCCUGUUUUUUCAAAACGUCAGGGUUAUGAAAGACAGACAAACUGUUCCAGAUUGAAAAGAAUAAAGAGACAUAACAACCAGGUACAAUUCUAAGCUUGGAUUGGAUCCUGGACCAGUAAAGGACAUCACUGGGACAGCCAGUGAGAUCUGAAAAUAGUCCGUGGAUAGACGAAAAUACAGGAUCUGUUCAUUUAUUUUGUUGGUUUUAUCCGAUUACGCAGGGGAGUGUUUUUGUUUUUAGGUAAUAUACGCUAAAGUAUUAAGAGGUAAUGGAACUCCACAUCUACAGCAUAUUUUCAAGUUGUUCAGAAAAAUGUACUGUAAUGAGAAUAACAAGAGGAAAAAAGAGCACUUACCUCCCAGAUUAAGAGGAUUAUACGAAGUAAUGCAGACAAGAGUACAGGGCGUGCUGCGCCGAAAACCACGUGCUGGUGUGGACACUGGAAGCCGUGCCUCGUGGAGCAACGAAGAAGUCGGGUCCACUAACCAACAGGCAGCAACCGCCUCUCCGUUUUUAUGGGAGAGAGCGAAAUACAUUUCUAUCUUGUCUAAACAACAUUCUUGUUUGGGAUUUCCCGUCCCUUGUUGCUGAGCUUCAUCCAAACCGAUGCAUUGGGUAAAGCCACAGCCGAGGCCCAGCCCUGCCCGCAUCUCUCACCCACCUUGAGCCAGGUGCGGGCUCUUGGCCCUCUCCGACAGGAGAGCCCACGUGACCCAGUCUGGGCCAAUAGGCCAUCAGGGGAGUCUGCAGAGGGCUCGGCUUGCGGGGAGAGGAUCAGCUCCUCAGCCCGGGUCAGGGAAGCAGGAAGAGAGAGCUUCAGUUGCUGUCCUCAUUCAGGCCAUGUUCUAGUUUGAGCUCCCCGCAAAGUCGAUUCUGAAACAAGCCCUUGAGCAUCGGGAGUUGGUUUGGAAGAUGUUCCCAGGCAACAUGGAUUGGGAUUGGGGAAGUGACAUUGCGAAAGGCAAGAAGCCAAUAAAUGAUAGUUACCAGGCAAGUUCCCUUGUAGGUAACUGAGGCAUAAUCUCACUGGGAAGCAAUGUAGAAUAUAACUUCACAGUGAGCCCCUGCCUCUUCAAGGGUAAAGAGUGGGAUUUACUCAGCUGUUCCCAUCAGCUUUGGCUUGAUUGCUGAUCCCAGAGGUUCCAGUGGCCAGAGAAGCCUCAGCAAGGAGCGUGGGUGGGAUAGGUCACCAGCAGUUUGAGGCUGGGUCCGCAUUCAUGAACAUGGUACAUGCCAAGGGGGUUAUGGGUAGGGUACUGACAGCAUUGCUGCAGCCAAGAUGGGAAAGCAGAAAAAACUCAGAGCUGCCCACCAGAACUCGGAACUCGACAUCAACGAGCCACUGAACCCAAAGAACAAAGCUCUACCUCAGUACUUCCUGCUGUGUAAGAAAAAAAAGAAACUCCUCUUUAUUAAACCACUGAUUGUUGAGACAAACGCCAUGUUUAAUAACUAUUCCUCGUUCUCCUGAUGUUUCACUCGGGGGCAUUUAGUUUAAUCUCAGUGGGGUUAGAGUUUUGGAAACCAAAGCCAGGAGACAUAAUGAUAUUUCUGAUUUUUGUUUGAUUGGAGAAAAGAGAGAGAGAGAAAAGGAAAACACUGGAUGGAAAAGAGGUAAAGAGAGGGACA